AACGGCGAGUGAAGCGGUAAAAGCUCAAAUUUGAAAUCUGGUACUUUCAGUGCCCGAGUUGUAAUUUGUAGAAUUUGUCUUUGAUUAGGUCCUUGUCUAUGUUCCUUGGAACAGGACGUCAUAGAGGGUGAGAAUCCCGUUUGGCGAGGAUACCUUUUCUCUGUAAGACUUUUUCGAAGAGUCGAGUUGUUUGGGAAUGCAGCUCAAAGUGGGUGGUAAAUUCCAUCUAAAGCUAAAUAUUGGCGAGAGACCGAUAGCGAACAAGUACAGUGAUGGAAAGAUGAAAAGAACUUUGAAAAGAGAGUGAAAAAGUACGUGAAAUUGUUGAAAGGGAAGGGCAUUUGAUCAGACAUGGUGUUUUUUGCAUGCACUCGCCUCUCGUGGGCUUGGGCCUCUCAAAAAUUUCACUGGGCCAACAUCAAUUCUGGCAGUAGGAUAAAUCAUUAAGAAUGUAGCUACCUCGGUAGUGUUAUAGCUUAUUGGAAUACUGCUAGCUGGGAUUGAGGACUGCGCUUCGGCAAGGAUGUUGGCAUAAUGGUUAAAUGCCGCCCGUCUUGAAA
rnacentral:rRNA from 1 species